CCGCUUGGAUCCUGACGGACCGGGACGGAGUA
rnacentral:ncRNA from 1 species